AGAGUUUGAUCAUGGCUCAGAUUGAACGCUGGCGGCAUGCCUUACACAUGCAAGUCGAACGGCAGCACGAGAGCUUGCUCUUGGUGGCGAGUGGCGAACGGGUGAGUAAUAUAUCGGAACGUACCCUAGAGUGGGGGAUAACGUAGCGAAAGUUACGCUAAUACCGCAUACGAUCUACGGAUGAAAGUGGGGGAUCGCAAGACCUCAUGCUCAUGGAGCGGCCGAUAUCUGAUUAGCUAGUUGGUGGGGUAAAAGCUCACCAAGGCGACGAUCAGUAGCUGGUCUGAGAGGACGACCAGCCACACUGGAACUGAGACACGGUCCAGACUCCUACGGGAGGCAGCAGUGGGGAAUUUUGGACAAUGGGCGCAAGCCUGAUCCAGCAAUGCCGCGUGAGUGAGGAAGGCCUUCGGGUUGUAAAGCUCUUUUGUCAGGGAAGAAACGGUGGACUCUAAUACAGAUCACUAAUGACGGUACCUGAAGAAUAAGCACCGGCUAACUACGUGCCAGCAGCCGCGGUAAUACGUAGGGUGCAAGCGUUAAUCGGAAUUACUGGGCGUAAAGCGUGCGCAGGCGGUUGUGCAAGACAGAUGUGAAAUCCCCGGGCUCAACCUGGGAAUUGCAUUUGUGACUGCACGGCUAGAGUGUGUCAGAGGGGGGUAGAAUUCCACGUGUAGCAGUGAAAUGCGUAGAGAUGUGGAGGAAUACCGAUGGCGAAGGCAGCCCCCUGGGAUAACACUGACGCUCAUGCACGAAAGCGUGGGGAGCAAACAGGAUUAGAUACCCUGGUAGUCCACGCCCUAAACGAUGUCUACUAGUUGUCGGGUCUUAAUUGACUUGGUAACGCAGCUAACGCGUGAAGUAGACCGCCUGGGGAGUACGGUCGCAAGAUUAAAACUCAAAGGAAUUGACGGGGACCCGCACAAGCGGUGGAUGAUGUGGAUUAAUUCGAUGCAACGCGAAAAACCUUACCUACCCUUGACAUGUCUGGAAUCCUUGAGAGAUCAGGGAGUGCUCGAAAGAGAAUCAGAACACAGGUGCUGCAUGGCUGUCGUCAGCUCGUGUCGUGAGAUGUUGGGUUAAGUCCCGCAACGAGCGCAACCCCUGUCAUUAGUUGCUACGAAAGGGCACUCUAAUGAGACUGCCGGUGACAAACCGGAGGAAGGUGGGGAUGACGUCAAGUCCUCAUGGCCCUUAUGGGUAGGGCUUCACACGUCAUACAAUGGUACAUACAGAGGGCCGCCAACCCGCGAGGGGGAGCUAAUCCCAGAAAGUGUAUCGUAGUCCGGAUUGUAGUCUGCAACUCGACUACAUGAAGUUGGAAUCGCUAGUAAUCGCGGAUCAGCAUGUCGCGGUGAAUACGUUCCCGGGUCUUGUACACACCGCCCGUCACAUCAUGGGAGCGGGUUUCACCAGAAGUGGGUAGCCUAACCGCAAGGAGGGCGCUCACCACGGUGGGAUUCGUGACUGGGGUGAAGUCGUAACAAGGUA
rnacentral:rRNA from 1 species